rnacentral:rRNA from 1 species
ACGUAGGGUGCAAGCGUUAAUCGGAAUUACUGGGCGUAAAGCGUGCGCAGGCGGUUGUGUAAGUCAGAUGUGAAAUCCCCGGGCUUAACCUGGGAAUGGCAUUUGAGACUGCACGGCUAGAGUGUGUCAGAGGGGGGUAGAAUUCCACGUGUAGCAGUGAAAUGCGUAGAGAUGUGGAGGAACACCGAUGGCGAAGGCAGCCCCCUGGGAUAACACUGACGCUCAUGCACGAAAGCGUGGGGAGCAAACAGGAUUAGAUACCCUGGUAGUCCACGCCCUAAACGAUGUCUACUAGUUGUCGGGUCUUAAUUGACUUGGUAACGCAGCUAACGCGUGAAGUAGACCGCCUGGGGAGUACGGUCGCAAGAUUA